UCCCUGAGCAAACUUCUCAGGACCAUCUUGAUGCUGCUGACCAGCAGAGUUAUUCUCACCAAGAUUGGAGACCACGGUGACCACGGUGACUGGUCCUGCUCUCUGAGGGGAUAAGUGAAGGUUUCCCCUCAUCACCUGGCUGGGAGACUUCCCCAGGACUGAAAUAAACCUGUAACACUGGAACCCCACUUAGGAAAAGGCUACCCCUAGGAAAUGAAGUUCUGAGAGAUGCCUACUAAAUUCGUGAUCACUGUAUAGCUGGGCUUCCAAGCAGGGCUCAGUUGAACCUCAGAGGAAGCUAAAGAGGACAGAUGGCUCCUUGGUGACUUCAUCUGAGCCCUGAAUCAACUGUACCUGAAGCCAAACUACCCUUGCACUUGCAGCUGAAGGACUGCUAAGGAACUUUCUGGACCUUCUCAAAAUCUUGGCCAUAGGAAGCUUGGAAAGAGAGCCUCCUAAGGGUGUCCUACACUUGCUCCUGUCCUUCACAACGCUCAGUGUCCAGGGAUACUGAAGGCUUGCUGAAUACAAGGCUCAGUGCCUCACUCCACUCUCAUCACUCUCUCUACUGCGUUGAGCACCCGCUGUGUGCCAGACGCCCUGCUGGAGCCUCACCUGCGAUUGCUUCCCACCCUUCAGAUGUGUUCCAGUCUGGUCACGUCACACCCAUUUCACAGGUGAGAAAACAGAGGUCUGGAAAGGUGACAUCCUUUACUUUAGAGCACAGGCUGAAAAAGCGAGAAACAGAGAACAUGGGACAGGCCCUCAUGCCCGCAGAGCCAAUGCCCCUUUCUCUCCA